rnacentral:snRNA from 1 species
AUACUUACCUGUUGCCGGGACCUCGUUGAUCAUCGAAGACGAGCCCCCAGGGCGAGAAGCAGGCGUUGUACUGUGCUCGCGUUGACCCCUGCCACUACCCCAAACUGUUGAGAGGGGGCAUGCAAUUUGCUUAAGUCUGGUUAAACGCAAGAGAGGGCGCCACCGCC